rnacentral:tRNA from 1 species
UGGGGGAUCGUCUAAUGGUAGGACAGUGGACUCUGGAUCCAUAUGUGAGGGUUCGAAUCCUUCUCCCCCAGCCA